rnacentral:rRNA from 2 species
GGACUACUAGGGUAUCUAAUCCCGUUUGCUCCCCUAGCUUUCGCGCCUCAGCGUCAGAUUCCGACCAGAGAGUCGCUUUCGCCGCCGGCGUUCUUCCCGAUCUCUACGCAUUUCACCGCUCCACCGGGAAUUCCACUCUCCCCUCCGGACCUCAAGCCAAGCAGUAUCGGGCGCAGUUCCUCGGUUGAGCCGAGGGCUUUCACACCCGACUGACUUGGCCGCCUACGCGCGCUUUAUGCCCAGUGAUUCCGAACAACGCUCGCCACCUACGUCUUACCGCGGCGGCUGGCAC